rnacentral:rRNA from 1 species
CUUCCGAUGGCGACCGGCGCACGGGUGAGUAACACGUAUCCAACCUGCCGAUAACUCGGGGAUAGCCUUUCGAAAGAAAGAUUAAUAUCCGAUAGGAUAUCAAGGUCGCAUGAUCUUGAUAUUAAAGAAUUUCGGUUAUCGAUGGGGAUGCGUUCCAUUAGUUAGUUGGCGGGGUAACGGCCCACCGGGGCGACGAUCAGUAGGGGUUCUGAGAGGAAGGUCCCCCACAUUGGAACUGAGACACGGUCCAAACUCCUACGGGAGGCAGCAG